AGCUGCAGUCGAGAAUCUUUCGCAAUGGGCGCAAGCCUGACGAAGCGACGCCGCGUGAGCGAUGAAGGCCUUCGGGUUGUAAAGCUCUUUCGCSCGGGAACAAGAAAGGGAUGUGAAUAACCUKCUGAUUUGAGGGUACUGGGUAAAGAAGCACCGGCUAACUCC
rnacentral:rRNA from 1 species